rnacentral:rRNA from 1 species
GAUGAACGCUGACAGAAUGCUUAACACAUGCAAGUCAACUGUGGCGGACGGGUGAGUAACGCGUAAAGAACUCGCCUCACAGAUUGGGCCAACAUUUGGAAACGAAUGCUAAUACCUGAUACUGUGAGAGAGCGUUGCGUCCCAUUAGCUAGUUGGAGAGGUAAGGGCUCACAAAGGCGAUGAUGGGUAGCCGGCCUGAGAGGGUGAUCGGCCACAAGGGGACUGAGACACGGCCCUUACUCCUACGGGAGGCAGCAGUGGGGAAUAUUGGACAAUGGACCAAAGUCUGAUCCAGCAAUUCUGUGUGCACGAUGAAGUUUUCGGAAUGUAAAGUGCUUUCAUUUGGGAAGCUGUACCAACAGAAGAAGUGACGGCUAAAUACGUGCCAGCAGCCGCGGUAAUAC